rnacentral:rRNA from 1 species
UACGGAGGAUGCAAGCGUUAUCCGGAAUGAUUGGGCGUAAAGCGUCCGCAGGUGGCUGUGUAAGUCUGCUGUCAAAGAGCAAAGCUCAACUUUGUAAAGGCAGUGGAAACUACACGGCUAGAGUGCGUUCGGGGCAGAGGGAAUUCCUGGUGCAGCGGUGAAAUGCGUAGAGAUCAGGAAGAACACCGGUGGCGAAGGCGCUCUGCUAGGCCGCAACUGACACUGAGGGACGAAAGCUAGGGGAGCGAAUGGG